UGUUUGUUUGUUUUUUUGUUUUUCAAGACAGGGUUUCUCUGUAUGGCCCUGGCUGUCCUGGAACUCACUUUGUAGACCAGGCUGGCCUCAGAAAUCUGCCUGCCACUGCCUCCCAAGUGCUGGGAUUAAAGGUGUGUGCUACCACACCCGGCUGUUUUAAUAGUUUUUAACAGUUCUCAAAAUGCACUGUUUUUAGGACUGGUCUUGCUAUCAAAAUUUAAGGACCCUAACAAAGCUUCAUUUACAGAGACCAUAUUUAUUAGAGAUGCCUAAAAAUUUGUAGUGGUAGCAUGUACUUGUAAUCCCAGCACAAUGGAGGCUGAGGCAGAAGGAUUACCACAAAACUGAAGCCAGCUUAGGAUCUGUGAGUUCAAGGGUACUUGGAAAUACAAGACCUUGACUCAAAACACCAGAAAAUACCUAUUAGAUACCACCUAUCAAUAGAAGUUAUAAGUAUAAGCUGGCCAAGAGGCCCCAAUGGAAGGUCCCUAAAUCCCAGGCCAGCCUAAUAGAUUGCACGAGAAGACACUGUCUCAAACAAAGUUCAUUUAAGCAAUUAACUGUGCACAGCACAUUAACAUAAGUCGCAGGAAUAGCCUAUGAAAGGUAACCACAUGUUCCGAAGGGGGAGAAAUCAGUGGGAAAAGCGGCACCGCUGAAAGUUUCACAAAUGUAGGGCUGCAGAGAGGGCUCAGAGGAGUUGAGGGAAAGGUGCCAACCAUACAAGCCUGGCACCCUGAGUUCCAUCCCCAGAACCCAUAUAAAAGUGGAAACAGAGAUCGGACAGCAGAAAAUUGCUCUCUGAUCUCCACACACAUGCCUGCACAUACAGAGAAUCAUAAAAUUAAAUGUGCCUUUUGUCUGGUUGGUUGAUUUGAUUGGAUUUUUCAAGACAGGGUUUCUCUGUGUGGCCCUGGCUGUUCUGGAACUCACUCUGUAGACCAGGCUGGCCUCAAACUCACAAAGAUCUGCCUGCCUCUGUCUCUCAGGUGCUGGAUUAAAGGUGUGGGCCACCACUGCCCAGCUAAUAAUACCUUUUUUUUCUUUUUUCUUUUUUUUGGUUUUUCGAGACAGGGUUUCUCUGUGUAGCCCUGGCUCUCCCAGAACUGCAUUUUUUUUUUUUUAUAGAAAAUUUUAGUAAUCUAAUUUCUGGUCCAAUAGAAAAGUGUUAAAGCUGGGUGGGUGCAAUGCCUCAGGUGUAUUCUCCCAGCACUUGAGAGGUGAAGGCAGAAGGAUUCGGUGUUCAGGGCUAACCGUGGCUAAGUAACUGAGUCUAACAUGCAUGAGAGCCAAGGAAGGAAGGAAGGAAGGGAAGGGAGGGAGGGAGGGAAAGAGCUGUUGGAGUCUCAGAACAGCUUACAUAUGCUUGUUGCAGUAUAUUGCUUUGGUUACUCCAUCGAGAGCUGGCUUCAUCCAGAUAUGCUGAAUAGCAAAUAGCAGAUUACACACUCUUUCAAAGUAAUCUGGAAUCUUUAAUGCCAUUUAAAACACUGCCAGGUGAUAGCUCCACAGGACAGGUAGGUGUGCACUCUGGGGUCACCCUCGGCUACAUUAAGACGCCCUCUACCUGGUACCUUUCAUGGAAUGUCUGCCAACGUGCCUUUGUAAUAAACAUUAGUCAUUUAGAAAACAUUGCUUUUAAGAUGCACAAACUUAAACGCUGACACGUUUUAGUCUCCAUCAUACAAAAAAAAAAAAAAAAAUCACAUCCGAUAACACUGAAGAGUUACUUACAUUCAUUAAUAACAGGAAACUACUGAAUAGGGGAAGUAUAUAUUUUUUUAAUUUUUACUGCUAAGCUCAAUUUUUUUACAGUUUUUUUUUAAUCGUUUUCUAAGUUCAAAUGUUACAUGUUACAAAUUGCAACAAAUAUCACCACUUUUCCCCCUUGGACAAAGCCACCUUCUCUUCUCUUCUCAUGUUUAAGUCAGUGUCUGCUCACAUCCCACACCCCAGCUCCUCUGUCAUCCUUUCAGGGCUCUGCACGGCUUAGGCAUGCACUGUCCCCCCAUGCUGACCCCAGACCCCACAGAACACUUGUCAUCCAGGGCACCCAGAUAUUUCUGCAGGGAAAAAAAAUCACUUUUUAAUUAAUAAACUUUGAAAUCAGCUUUUUAAAAAUAUAGAGGAAAUUACACAUAUUUAUUUAUCUACUUAUUAUUUAUUUGCUUGCAGUUGGCAUUUUGAGGUGCUCCCCACUGAGGCCCUGGCUGGUCUGGUACUGGUUAUGCAGCCCAAGUGCCCUCAGAUUCACCAAGGCGCUCCUGUUUCUGCCCAAGUACAAGGACUACAGUGUAGCCCACCACAUUUAGCUUCCAGAGCAGCUUUGGUUCUCAGCAAAACUGAGCAGGGUACAGCAUUCCCAGUUCCUCCCACCUGCUCUCAUGUGCAGUGCCCCCACUGUAGACACUGACUUUCCCAAUGACUCCGUGACCCUGAGAAUCUUCAAUACAGUCACUGGGGCUUGAAAGCGUCCCACGCCCAGAACACUCCCCGUUCCACGAAGAGCCUGCCCUGAUGAACGAAGUCAUACUGGAUUUUUUUUCUCACAUGUAAUUAGGAAUGAGUAUUAAAGAGACUGAGGCAGAGGAAUGUGGAGAGAUCUUUGGGCUAGACAGUGAAACCUGUUAAAACACACACACACAUUUAUAUGCACACACAUAUAUUUACAUACACACCGGCUUCAGAGCUCUUUAAUUACCUCACCCCCUCUUAUGCAUGAGUUUACUUUGAUUAAUGUUAAGAAGUUUGUUUUUCCUAAACAUUUUGACAGAAAAAAGACCACAACAACACUGAUUUGCCAAGGGAAGUCAGCUUUACAUUAAAUAUUUAUUGUGUCCAAACCACAAGUAGGAAAAACUUCAAAGGCUAACUAUUUUAAUGAUAACUCACAUUGUUUGGCUUACGGGAAAGGUAAUUACACAGCUUGCAUUUGGGUUUUGAGGUUUUUAGGAUUUUUGUGCGGGUGGGAGGGGGAGACAAAGGAACAGUCUAAUGCAUUUAGAUUCUGCCAGGAAAAAAAAAAAGCGAGCUCUCUAAAAGCAAAACAAAUUUAGCAUUAGAUACAAUGUGGGGAAACUUGCUAGUAAGCUUUCACCUAAGCAGGUGCAGAGUCCAGACUCAAAGCACAGACUCUCAUACCGAGAACAAGAGGUCGGGACACCGCAAACUAAUAAAAUCAAUCAGCCGUCGGGAAAGCAGAUGGCUACACAGACAGGCAGGGUUUUUCUUUCCUAAUCCCAAGCAGUUUUCAGAAAUGGCAUCUACAAAAACUACCCAAACAUCCCCGUAAUAAACUGCGCCCCUCCUCCACAACACGGAAGCCAUUAGUUACAAGUUUCACUUUCUCUUUCUAGCUCCGCUGGCUUCCUUCUGUUCCACAUGGGCCCACUGGGUUGGACUGGUUGCAGGUCCAUUCCUGUCUUCUCCAACCCAAACUUAAAGAGGUGAAUAGUAAAUUUGACUCAUGGGAGCUAGGUUGUUAUCUGUGAGGCUAUUCACUUGUUAGGUACAAAGAAAAGUUACAGAACAGGAAGAUAAAGCUGUAUAUACACAUCAAGUGAAGGGUAACUGUGAACAUCUGCACGUCCAUUCACGCCCUCACACAUGCUUGUAUACACAUACACACACACACACACACACACACACACACACACACAGAUGUGAAGAGAGACGCUAUCAGCUGCACAGGACACAGCAAAGCAACUUCCAGCAUCAUGUGGGUCAUUCAUGGAUGUCAUCCAACGUCCAAGCCUUCUGGAUCUCUUCUUCCCCUCUCCCGUCUCCUCCUUCCUAAGAAAGAUUCAACCCUAACCACUCCUCUACCCUUCAACUGUCCAAGAGUAUCUGUCCCUUAUCUUUUUGCUAUGGUAGCACACACCUUUAAUACAAAUACCAGGGAGGCAGAAGCAGGCAGAUCUCUGUUCUCUGAGUUUGAUGCCAACUUGGUUUAUAGAGUGAGUUCCAGGCCUGCCACCACCAGAGCUACAUACUGAGACUCUGUCUCUCAUUCAUACAUAUAUACAUAUACACACACAUUACAUAUGUGUGUGUGUGUGUGUAUAUGUAUGUGAUAUAUAUGUGUGUGUUUAUGUAUGUGAUAUAUAUGCGUGUGUGUUUAUGUAUGUGAUAUAUAUGUGUGUGUGUAUGUAUGUGAUAUAUAUAUAGUGUAUAAAAUUAUGUGUGGUUCUGGAGACUGAACCCAAAGCUCUGUUCACAUUAGGAAUAUGUUCUAUCACUGAGUUAUAUAUCUCUGGCCCUUUUUCAAAAAUCUGACACAGAAUCUGAGCAAGUUCCAGGCUGGUCUCAAACACCUAGUCUUCCUGCCUCAGCUUCAGCAUCACUGGGGUUUAUGAACACACACCACCAAUCAUAUUCUCUCUGCUUCCCUUUUAAAAAAUUGUUUUAGGGGCUGGAGAGAUGGCUCAGUGAUUAAGAGCACCAACUUCCCUUCCAGAGGUCCUGAGUUCAAUUCUCAGCAACAACCAUCUGUAAUGGGAUCCAAUGCCUUCUUCUGGUGUGUCUGAAGACAGCUAGAGUGUAGAGUGUACACACACACACACACACUCACAUACACACACACACAUAUAUACACACACACAUAUAUAUACAUACAUACACAUAUAUAUAUAUUCUUUAAAAUAAAUAAAUAAAAUCAUUUUACAUUAGUCUAUUACUCUAGUUGUGCAUAUGUAUGCACACAUAAACCAUGCUGCAGGUGUGGACAUCAGAGGACAACUUGUGGAAAACAAUUCUCACCUUCCAUCACACAGGUUCCAGAAACCAAACUCGUAGCCCGGUGUGGUGGCGUAUGCCUUUAAUCCCAGCACUCGGGAGGCAGAGGCAGGUGGAUUUCUGAGUUCGAGGCCAGCCUGGUCUACAAAGUGACUUCCAGGACAGCCAGGGCUAUACAGAGAAACCCUGUCUCAAAAAAAAAAAAAGAAAGAAAGAAAGAAAUCAAACUCAAGUGGUCAGGCCUGAAGGCAAGCACCUUUACCCACUGAGCCAUGCCACCAGCAACACCCACCACCACCACCCAUGUCUCAAGACAGUGUCUCACAUAGCCCAGACUGGCCUCAUACUCCCAGUGUAGUCCAUGGUGACCUCAAACUUCUGAUCUUCUUAUCUCCACCCAACAAGGGGUUUUAGAGGAGUGUGCCACUAAAUCUGGGUUUAUCUAGUCCUAGGGAUGGAAGCCAUGGCUUCAUACACACUAGAGAAGCACUCUACCAACUCAGCCAUGUUCCUAGCCUGUAGCUGUCUAUACUUCUUAAGAGCAUGAAAAACUCCAAGGGACUAUUACUGAGUAGUGAUAACUUUCAAUGUGUUGACUAUUAAAAUACAUGGAGUGGAUCAUAGGUCUUUGAAGCUGCAAAGAGGCUUAUCAUGAGAGCCUCUAUGUAACAGGAAUGUACAGUUUGCCAUGUCUAUAUCUCUAUGUCAAAGAUAUAUCUCCUCUGUCACCAUGUAAAUCCCCAGUCCCUAGUCACUUAGCUUCCCCUGUAGGUCAAAAUCUCCUAAUUACUCUUUCUUUCCUUCAGGUCACUAAUGGUGCCAUGAAUCAUAACUUGCCCAACUUGGUAACCAGAGAGAAAGAUUGAAGAUUUCAGUGUUAAUUGAUAUCAUUUGAAUGUUAGCUACGUGCUAGGCACCACGCAAAAUUUCUUAUGAUGUAACAAAUGAUCUCACUCGGUCUUCACAGCUACCCUGUGAGUGGACCCAGCAGGCAGUUUGUGGACAAAGAAAUUGAAACUCAGAGAUGUUAAAGCAACCAGCCUUAAGGACAAAGAGGUGUUGUAUCUGAAAAUUCAAACCCAAGGUGUCUGGCCUCAUAGCGCUGCUUUAGAAUGCCAUUGCGUCUGUCCAUGUACCACAAAACCCUCAAGCACAUCACCCAAGCAAUAGUUACCUUAGGAGAGCUCAGAAUGUGAGUUUCUUGACUGACGCAUUUAAAAGGUCAAAGGUCAGGUCAAUUGUUCAGUGGUGAGUAAAGUCAUUUAUUACCACAGAUAGAGCUGGCAAGAUGGAAAGCCAAGGUCUAAACAUCACUUUCUUAUGGGGGUAGAUUUGCCUUCCAUAUUAUUUUGUUGAGCUGUUAAAAUGAUUUUCAAUAAAAUAGAUCCAAAAUGAACUGGUAAGUUAAAGAGUGUCUGGGAAAACACACACUGAACUAUUAACAGGAAAACAGGUAAAGCUUUUUAACACAGCAUAUAUUACUAUCAUGAAAAGAAUUCAAUCUUUUUAAAACACAGUUCUAGUGACAUGAUCAGAAGAGAAGGCAUAAAAGAUGUGGCUCUGUGGCCUUCCUGUUUCCUUCUCCUCAAUUAAGAGCUUCCACUUUUAGCCCCUAAACCCACUAUGCUGUUUUAAGCUCAGCACAUCCACGCCCCCACCACCUUGAAAGAACUGUACAAGCUCUGCAAGAAUUCCUAACCCUCCUGUAAGUGCUCUGGUGUUCCCGGAAACUAGCCCUCCUGUAACCUCUCACCCCUGUAUAGAAUGAGCCUCUCUAUCCUUGGACCUUUUCCUAAGAACUUAAGAUAUACAGGGCUCUUGCUGUGGAGCUGCAUGCUCUAAACAUUUCACUUGCAUGAGAGAGGGUCUCCCUGUAUACCUCAAGUUGUAGGCAUGUGCCAACAUGCCAACAGACCGACCUUCCCCCCACCCUUUUGUCUGUCUUUUUUUUUUUUUUUUUUAAAGUUAGGUAAGAAAACUGAGGCUCAGCCAGGCAGUGGUGGUGCACACCUUUGGUCUCAGCACUUGGGAGGCAGAGUCAGGCAGAUCUCUGUGAGUUGGAGGCCAGCCUGGUCUACAGAGAGUGUUCCAGGACAGCCAGGGCUACACAGAGAAACUCUGUCUCAAAAAAAAAAAAAAAAACCAGAGGGGAGCUGGGGGGUGGCCGUGGUGGGACAGGAGGGGAGCUGGGGGGUGGCCGUGGUGGGACAGGCAGGACUGAGGCUUAGCUUCUGACCAAGAAGCAGUGAAUCCAGGAUCGGAUCCCAGGUCUCUCUGCCUCCGUAGCCUCAGACUUGAGCCACUCACUCCUCUGCCUUAGGUGAAUACUGCAACAGUGUGCACUCUGGUCCCCACUAGGCCUACAGUUCCAUGAGAACUUGGGUGGGGUUUUGAAUACUCAUUCUCCUUGGCUCCUGCCCAGCUUCUACUCUCUGCUGCUGUGGUUUUGUUCUGGUUUGGUUCUUUAACACGGGGUUCUCUACAUAGCCCCAGCUGGCCUGAAACCAUGAACCCCAGGCUUCCCUUGAUCAAAUUUGCAGCAAUCCUCCUGUCUCUGUGAAAAUACUUUUUCUUGAACCGGGGCUUUGCUAGGUAGUCUCCAGCUAGCUACGCAGAAUACCUGGCCUUAAAUUGGUAGUGGGCCUCCAGCCAGUGUCUCCCAAAUCCUUGAAUUGCAAGCAUAUACCAGCAGACCUGCCUAGCCUUUUUUGAGACAGGGUCUUAUUAGCUACUCAAAGCAGACUUGGAAUUCACUAGGUAACCCAGGCUAGCUUCAAACUCACUUUUUUUUUUUUUUUUUUUUUUUUUUGGCCUCAGUUCUUGGCUAGCCACAUGCUAAAACUGCAGACAUGAAACAUCCAUGGCCAGCUUCUGCUUAGUGUUUUGUUCCUGUUCAUCUUAAGCCAGGGUCUUAGCUGGCCUGGAACUCAAUUUGUAGACCAGCUGGCCCUUAAUUCUUAGAGAUCCACUGCUGCUGCCUUCCAAGUGCUGGAAUUAAGGGCAUGUGCCGCCAGCACCAUUCAUCCGUCUAGCAUGUGUGCAUGCGUGUGUGUGUGUGUGUGUGUGUGUGUGUAUGUGUGUGUGUAUGUUAGCUGAAUAAAGUUAUAGCAAACAUAACAUAAAAAAAUGAGAACCAUAGUAGAAAUUCAUUCUUCCAAAUGUUACUCCUUUAAACAAAUUAUUUCCAAGAAUUUGCCACCAAAUACAAUCUGGUAAUCCCAACUAUCUGCACCAGAGCAAGCCAAACAUUCUUUUCACCAUCAAAGACAGCAAGCCAAUGCCAUCCUCCACCAUCUCACUGAGGCCGGUCCACAGCACCAGGAGUCCUUCAAGAUUUAGGGCUAUCCUUCAAGCACUCUUUAGAUGAGUUUUUUGGUUUUUUUAUUUGGCUAGAACUUUAAAAUCCGAAUGACAUAAAAUGUGUUCCGUGGUAGAGUGCUUGUUAGCAACCUAGGUUUCGUCCCCAGAAAGGGAGAAAAGGAGAGUAAAAGGGAGGGAAACUGAGGGAAAGAAGAGAGCAGGGAGGGACAGAAGGCACAGGUGUAAGUAAUAAUGCCUUGCUCUCCUUAAUGACAUCAACGUGUUGUAUUAGACAAUAAAGCAUUUAUCAAGUUGCUCCAACAGCCUGCAAAUCUACACACAAGAUGUCACUCUCCCUAGCACUUUUCACAAUGUCAGAGAGGUUAAGUAUUCUCUGAGCUGUACACCAUCACCAUCUCUUAGAAAACAUCAGCUAAAAGGCUUCUGGGCUUGGGCAUCAAGGAAGGUGCUCACUACCUCCGCGCCCUUCUCACAUUUGGAUGUCAAGACAAAAGAAAAAGGAACUUUCUACAGACAGAAACGACCACUGACCACAAGGCUCUCCGGCUGAAAUGUCAUUGAGGUCACAGCCGCCCUUUAGCUAAAAUUUGCCUAAACAUCUCCAUUAAAAAAAUAGCUGAAGUUUGACAGUAAAUUAUGCUAACAGGAGAGGGAGAGAGGGGGAAGGGGGAGGGGAAAGGAGAGAGGGGGGAGAGGGAGGAGAGAGGGUGAGACACAGAACAGUUACUUUGGCUUUCAGCUGCCAAUGUUUCAUUAUUCAGAUUUUCUCUGAUACUUCUCAACAGGGAACAUACUCACUCUAAAUUGAAACUGAAUACUUAAGCAUGGACCAAGAAAUAUGUAAAAGGCAGACGUUAAACCAUUGUAACUCACGAUGCCUUAAGGCAAGUGUCUAGGCCUAUUGGCCUCAAUUUCCUUAUCUACAAAAUGAGGUUAGCAUUCAGUGAGCCACCUAGCUAUCUCUCAGCCCCUAUCGAGAGCCUCAUAACUGAGGAUUAUCUCUAAGUGGUUAUUUGUCCCGAUGAACUACAGAUGAAAAUAAAAGAUUCAUGAAUCUGCUAAUGGUUCUUUGUGGGGAGUGUGCUAACACUAAGAACAAACACUCCAACAUUUUCAUUAUUAUUAUUCCAGAUUCUCUUCCCAGUGGUUCUCCCCAAAAGCCCUAGGUUUGAUUCCCAGGACCCAGGUGGUGGAUCACAACCAUCUGUCACUAGUUCCAGAAGCUCUGAUGUCCUCUUCUGGCCACCUAGGGCACUGGGCACACACUGGCACAGACGUGCAUGCAGGCAAAACACUCAUACACAUAGAACAAAGAUAAAUAAAGUCUAAAACUAAAAAAAAAUUAAAAGAUCCCGCUUAGUGUUCUGGUCCGGCACAUGCAAUAAUGAAACAAACAUGUUUCCUCAAGGAACAUAGACAUUAUUUAAUAUAAAAAGAGAAAAAAUGGCUGGCUCAAAUCCUAACAGUCUAAUUCCACAUUAAAAAGAAGAUAGAAGUGAUUUAUUGCUUUAAUAUAUUCACGUCCAUGCUGCACCUACACUGACAGCCCAACAUUCACAAUGCAUACACAAAUAAGCACUGUAGUAAACAGCAGGUAUAAACUACACACACUCUGAAUAAGGAAACUGAAUAAGCACUGACAGUACCCAUACACACAUCAAUUGAUACAACCGAGGGAUGUGGACCAGGUAUGAAAAAAGUGACUUGAGCAACAGUCUGGAUUUUGCCAACUUACCAAUUUAUAGCCACACACCCCCCAACAGGUAAAGUUUACACACAGAACUCAGCCAAGGCCAGCCUGUCUUUGUUUCCCUAGCUUCUGCUUUUACACAAGAGCUUGGCUAUGAGACAGAAAACUCCCACUCUUGAUUGGCUCACCCUGGCCUGUGCAAUUAAGCAACACCACGAUCCAGUAAAUGCAAUGGCUCAAUUAUUUAUCGUCUCGUCGAGUUUACCAGGUGUUUAUGAGAGAACAAUGUCAAAGAGGAAAGAGGUUUGUUGCUCUUUAGAGCUGGUUUGGCCAGGGAUUUAUUUUGAAUUGGGAAAAAAAAAAGUGUUCUUAACAAGGUGGGGGAAAUCAUAGCUUAACACAGAAAGAGAUGGGAGAGAAUUUAGAAAGGAUACAAGUUUGUCAAUUUUCUAUAGGAAAUCUGAUUCUUAAGAAAAAAAUCUAGCCAGUCCCAGAGGCUGGGGGGGGGGGGGGAGGGGGAGGGGGAGGGGCGGAGAGGCAGGAGGAGAGACACAACAGUUCCCACCUCCUAAGUGGGUACAGCUGACUACAGAAGGAACGGGAGCAAGGCAAAGAAAGUGGCUAGGCAAGGAACGGCCAGGCCCAGCACAGGGGCAGGAAGGAGGCUCCUUCUAACGCCUCCACCCCAAUGAUCUCCACCUGAGUGGCAGUGGCUCUGGUGGCCCGAACGUCCCUAGCCUCCGGGAGCAGUCACAGGAGGGCCGCUUCUGCUGGUUCCUGUCAUCCGGACGUCAGUGCCGCCGGGACGACCCUGUGUGUCUCCUCCUAUCCUCCUGCCCCAUGUAAGUGUCCAUUCACAGCUCUAAGCACCCCCACAGCUGACGAACCGUGGGGUCCCCCAUGCCGUCCCCCGUGCCGUCGGGGAGGUGGCCCCACCCUGCACCCCCUUCACCUGUCUCCGGGGCUGAGGCCCGACUGGCCGGCCUGCGCUGACUCCAGGCGCGAGCUGCUGGGCUCCCGAGGGCCGCCUGGCCUCUCCUAGCCGACGCGGUCAGGCGACACCGAGCGGGGUUGUACCUCAGCGAUCCGGUUAGGGCUCGUUCCCUCCGCCGCGACGUCGGAACCCCAGGUUCCCCCUCCCUGUCUACACUGCAGCUCCGGAAACCGCUGAAUUACAGCCCCUCCAGCCAAUCCCCACCCAGCCGCCACUGGCCAAGACACGCCUCCAUGCAUAAUUAAGGAAUGGCCAGCUGGCUAGGCCACCCUGAGGCCUCCGGGCGAGCGCUGUACUUCCUAAGCCCCGCCCACUAACCAAUGAAAAACGCCUCUAGGAGAGAAGGCGGGGUCGAGAGCUCUGGGCACACCUCCCUGAGUUGGCUGUUCUGAGAGCUUUGUGCUCCUCCCUCCGCGACCAAGGGACGCGCAGAGGCCUAGCUUACAAAAAAGCCCGGGGGGAGGGAGGAGACAUUAGCGGAAUGUCCUGCUGAAAACUCAGCUGAGUUCCUGGCAGUGCGUGACGUCAAGACACUUUAAAUGCCCUGAUACGGCUCGCUUCUGCCCGCUCUCCCUUUUCCCGGCCCUUGGCACCACGUGGGGGCGAGUUUGUGAGCUCCUUACCACGUGGGAAUCAGCCACUUAGGCGGUCCCCAGGUGUCACCCCACUUAAGCAUUUGGGUUUGUGGAGACAUCAAAAAAGAACAUGGGCAACUCCUGGCUGCUCUGAACUUCAGUUCUGCGUGAUUAUGGGCAUACACCCGGAAAUAUGACGUGGAAAUAGAGUAAUUACUAGAUUGCGUGGGGGAGAAUAGUGGCUAUAACCCGGUUCUCUGUUCCACCAUUUCAAACCUGAAUCUCAACAGCAAGGCUGAUUGGUCAGCUCACAGAAAUGCAGAGAGCCUAUGCAUGACAGCUGACACGAAUACACAGUACUUGCCAUUUC